GUUAAAACCUUCCUCAGUGCGGCCAUCAAGGAUGAGAACACCGUGCAUUCCAGUCUCAAGGUAUUAGAAAACAGUAUUGAGGAGUUUCGGGAUUUCACAUUUCUUGAUCAGAUGUCGGGAGCCAGUCCAAACUGCCUGUCUGAUGGCACCAUCCAGAUGCCCGGAAAGAAGGAACUGCAAAGCAGACUUCUGAGAGGAAGGACUAAGCAUGCACUUCAUCAGAGGUGGAAUACCUGGACAUAUUGAAGCAGAAAGUCAGUCUCUCAAAACUGCAAUCCUUAAACUCUUGGAAAAUAAAAUUUCUCUCUUGC